rnacentral:lncRNA from 1 species
CACUCAGGAGUGGGCUGGGGCUGUGGGGGAGGCUGAGUGGGGACCUGUGGGCUCAGUGGCCUCUUGCGCACUAAACUCUCUGUGGGCAUCACUGCAGCCCCUCACCCAGCACCCUGCCCCUCGCCUGGACCCUGCAGGGCCACCCUCUGGGCCAGCCUCCCAUCCUUAACCCUUCCCAUUGCACCCAGCAACCCUCCGAGAUCAAUCCCCAGUCACAUCUGCUCACCUGCCCUGCUCAGAGACCAUGAGAACCUGGCACCCAGAGACCGCCAGCCUGUCCCCACCAGCACUCUUCCUCCUGACUCACCUCGGGUCAGCCUGGUGUCCACAGCCGCAGCCUGUGAGUGCCCUCAGGGCAGCCGAGGCCUUGAUCCAGCCUCAGCUGGCCUGUCCCUCCAGACCACGGGGCUCCCACAGGCAUUCCCGAAGUCUUCAGAGCCCAGGUGUGGCUUGCAAGGAGCCUGGCAGCCAGAGAUGGCCUCAGGGAAAGAAAGCCAGGUGGCCCCCCGACACCAAUUCUCAAGGCAGGCGCAGGUCAACUUCAGCUCAGCCUGGUGGGCUCCGGCCGCAUGAUGGUCCUGAAUGGCAGCUCAGCUAUCAAUAUCAUUGUGUGACUACAAGAGGAAGAAACAGUUCAUCCUGACAUGCUCAUUCUGCAGACCGCCACUGAGCACCUCCUGGGGACCAAGCCUCAGCUGGCUAGUGGCCUCUAAACCAAGCUGUAUCAGUCAGGGAGACAUCUAAGCUGUUGCAACAAAGCACCCCCAAAUACAGUGGCUAAAACAAGACAGAACAUUUGUCUCCCUCCUGCAACAGUCCAGCCACUGCAGGCCUCGAGGGCAGCUCUGCUCCAUGGGGAUAC